UGGGGAAUAUUGGGCAAUGGGCGCAAGCCUGACCCAGCAAUGCCGCGUGAAGGAAGAAGGCUUUCGGGUUGUAAACUUCUUUGACAGGGGAAGAGCAGAAGACGGUACCCUGAAAACAAGCCACGGCUAACUACGUGCCAGCAGCCGCGGUAAUACGUAGGUGGCAAGCGUUGUCCGGAUUUACUGGGUGUAAAGGGCGUGUAGCCGGGAAGGCAAGUCAGAUGUGAAAUCUGGAGGCUCAACCUCCAAAUUGCAUUUGAAACUGUUUUUCUUGAGUACUGGAGAGGCAGACGGAAUUCCUUG
rnacentral:rRNA from 1 species